CCCCAGGUGUGUUUUGGGUGUGCCCAGGUGUGCCCAGGUGUGCCCAGGUGUGCCCCUAGCAGGGUGAUGUGGACAGGUGAGGGUGUGUCACCCCUCUCUGGGGGUACUUUAUCGCCGGGGGGUAGUUCUGGGUGUGCCCAGGUGUGCCCAGGUGUGCCCAGGUGUGCCCAGGUGUGCCCAGGUGUGCCCAGGUGUGCCAUAGACACACUCAGGUGUAUCAUAGACAUACCCAGGUGUGCCCAGGUGUGCCCAGGUGUGCCCAGGUGUGCCCUAACACGGUGAUGUGGACAGGUGAGGGUGUGGCACCCCUCUCUGGGGGUACUUGAUGGCCGGGGGGUAGUUCUGGGUGUGCCCAGGUGUAUCUCAGGUAUAUCCCAGGUGUGCCCAGGUGUGCCCAGGUGUGCCCAGGUGUGCCCUAGCAGGGUGAUGUGGACAGGUGAGGGUGUGGCACCCCUCUCUGGGGGUACUUUAUCCCCGGGGGGUAGUUCUGGCUGUGCCAUAGACACACUCAGGUGUAUCUCAGGUAUAUCCCAGGUGUGCCCAGGUGUGCCCAGGUGUGCCCAGGUGCCCCUAGCAGGGUGAUGUGGACAGGUGAGGGUGUGGCACCCCUCUCUGGGGGUACUUUAUCGCCGGGGGGUAGUUCUGGGUGUGCCAUAGACACACUCAGGUGUAUCAUAGACAUACCCAGGUGUGCCCAGGUGUGCCCAGGUGUGCCCUAGCAGGGUGAUGUGGACAGGUGAGGGUGUGGCA